AGAUCAUGCUGGCAGCUUUAACCUCUCAAAAAACCAACAUACAGAAGCGAGACGGAGUCAGAAUUUAAAGUUUAUGCAUUCUGAUCUUGCGGACUGAAAUAGAUUCAAGAAAUUAAAAAGCAAAAAAAUGAUAGAACAAAUGGUAUGACCUAUUUGAGGAAGCAUUUUAAGGUAUAUAAGAAAAGUGGGGCAUUUUCUUUCUCUUUGUGGGGUGGGGUGGGG
rnacentral:misc_RNA from 1 species